GACGAACGCUGGCGGCGUGCCCAAUACAUGCAAGUCGAGCGCAGGAAACUGACGGAACUCUUCGGAGGGAAGGCAGUGGAAUGAGCGGCGGACGGGUGAGUAACACGUAAGGAACCUGCCUCAAGGAUUGGGAUAACUCCGAGAAAUCGGAGCUAAUACCGGAUAGUUCAACGGACCGCAUGGUCCGCUGAUGAAAGGCGCUCCGGCGUCACCUUGAGAUGGCCUUGCGGUGCAUUAGCUAGUUGGUGGGGUAACGGCCCACCAAGGCGACGGUGCAUAGCCGGACGGGGAGGGUGAUCGGCCACGCUGGGACUGAGACACGGCCCAGACUGCUACGGGAGGCAGCAGUAGGGAAUCUUCCAAAAUGGACGAAAGUCUGAUGGAGCAACGCCGCGUGAGUGAUGAAGGUUUUCGGAUCGUAAAACUCUGUUGUAAGGGAAGAACACGUACGAGAGGGAAUGCUCGUACCUUGACGGUACCUUACGAGAAAGCCACGGCUAACUACGUGCCAGCCGCCGCCGUAACAC
rnacentral:rRNA from 1 species